GAUGAACGCUGGCGGCGUGCCUAAUACAUGCAAGUCGAGCGAACAGGCGAGGAGCUUGCUCCUCUGACGUUAGCGGCGGACGGGUGAGUAACACGUGGAUAACCUACCUAUAAGACUGGGAUAACUUCGGGAAACCGGAGCUAAUACCGGAUAAUAUAUUGAACCGCAUGGUUCAAUAGUGAAAGACGGUUUUGCUGUCACUUAUAGAUGGAUCCGCGCCGCAUUAGCUAGUUGGUAAGGUAACGGCUUACCAAGGCAACGAUGCGUAGCCGACCUGAGAGGGUGAUCGGCCACCCUGGAACUGAGACACGGUCCAGACUCCUACGGGAGGCAGCAGUAGGGAAUCUUCCGCAAUGGGCUAAAGCCUGACGGAGCAACGCCGCGUGAGUGAUGAAGGUCUUCGGAUCGUAAAACUCUGUUAUUAGGGAAGAACAAAUGUGUAAGUAACUAUGCACGUCUUGACGGUACCUAAUCAGAAAGCCACGGCUAACUACGUG
rnacentral:rRNA from 1 species